AAGGGCUCAUAUCAAGUGUAAAUUUUGAAAGAUCUGUCACUGUAGGAAAAACCCAAUUCAAUAUAAGGGACAAAAAGAGAGAGAGAAAGAAGACAAAGACAGAAUAUGAGAUACCAAAACCGAACCCUUUUGAUGAAAAGGGGUUGGCGGCACCAUCAAGUUCUAGGCUUUGUUUGGAUUUGUGUUUGUUUGAUUUUGGGAAGUGAAGAGAAUAUAUCUAUCUAUCUAUAAGAAUCUAUCUAUAUGGAAUUGGGUAUUCCCACUCGAGGCCACUCUCUUUGUAAUCAUUGCCC
rnacentral:lncRNA from 1 species